rnacentral:misc_RNA from 1 species
GAUGAAGAACGCAGCGAAAUGCGAUACUUGGUGUGAAUUGCAGAAUCCCGUGAACCAUCGAGUCUUUGAACGCAAGUUGCGCCCGAAGCCAUUAGGCCGAGGGCACGCCUGCCUGGGCGUCACACGUCGUUGCCCCCCCAUCUACUCCUUCGGGAUUGCGGGGGGCGGAUGAUGGCCUCCCGUGCGCCUCGUCGCGCGGUUGGCAUAAAUGCCAAGUCCUUGGCGACGCACGCCACGACAAUCGGUGGUUGCGAAACCUCGGUUGCCCGUCGUGUGCGGUCGUCGCGCAUCGAGGGCUCGAAAAAAUUGCCGGGCUCCGGCUCGGCUUUCAACGCGACCCCAGGUCAGGCGGGGUUACCCGCUGAAUUUAAGCAUAUCAAUAAGCGGAGGA